rnacentral:rRNA from 1 species
UACGUAGGGGCCGAGCGUUGUCCGGAGUUAUUGGGCGUAAAGCGCGCGCAGGCGGCCUCGCGCGCCCCGACGUGAAAAGCCCCCCGGCUUAACCGGGGGAGAGUCGUUUGGGGGACGGCGGGGGCUUGAGGGCGGGAGAGGGUCGGUGGAAUUCCCGGUGUAGUGGUGAAAUGCGUAGAGAUCGGGAGGAACACCUGUGGCGAAGGCGGCCGACUGGGCCGACCCUGACGCUGAGGCGCGGAAGGCGUGGGGGAGCGAACGGGGAUUGAGAAACCCCUG